ACAGACAGACACAUUUUCCCUGUAACUGUGUUUUUACUCCAACAUUUGUUGAAAAUGUAAUUUAUGAAAUGCUGAGCAGCAUUUCUUGUAUGUGGAAUAUUUUUGUCACCCCACUGUGCUAAUGUGAUUAAAUACUAAAAAUUAUUACUAAAAAAAUUCAAUAAUAAAUCAAUAAUAACUAUUUCUUGAUUGAACUAUAAUGUAAGCGCAGUGCUGGUGUGCAGGGGCUCUAUAUGCCUUGUCUAUAUCAAGCUUUUAGCCAAAUAUAAGCAGAGAUAUUUGUAUCUUUCUUAAAAAUCCAGAUCCUUACAGAUUAUUUGAGAAAUGGAUCAACAGCUAUCACUACUUGAAGCACUUUAAGUCCUGCAGUGGAAAAAUAUCCCUUAUUUCACCUUUGAUCACACACUUUGGUUUUCCAGUGCAGAGCAAUGGCCAAGAAAAGGAAAGACUUCCCCGAGUGAAAAAAAAGAUGAAGAUACAAGCUGGUGAUGAUCCAGAGCAGCUGGUCUCAGGAAAUGAAGAAAAACCCUGAUCACCUUCUCUACAAACACAAGAAUAAAUUGCGACUAGUCUCAAUGGCUGACACGGAGGAGCAACACAGCGACACGUUAACUCCGACUGCUGCAGUUCCUGUAUGAACUGAGCAACUCUUAAAAUCCAAGGAAAAGCUGAGUGUAUUUUACUUAAAGCUCAGAUGGACCUUGAUGUACUAACAUGCAGGCUGCAUUCAGGACUUUGUCACACUGUUAUAUGAAGAGCGGUAACAAGACUUUGUAGUAAUUUGUCUUACUAUUGUCUUAUUUGUUGUGAUUUAGGGUCUGUGCGCACAAGCAGAGGUUUUUGUUUGUAACUGUAACCUCGUUUUCAGAGCCUUGUCUAACAUUUAAUGGUCAUGAAAUAUGUCAGACUUUUUCCUCUACUUAACCAGCUUAGAGAAUUUGAACACCGUGGAGAAAAAGGUGUGCAUUAAGGAUUUUGAACUAUGAUGUUUAAGUGUUGUCACUGCUGAGGAUUCGUGGACACAGAUCCUUAUUCACUAUGCUGCUGUUUACAGUUUAACUUUUCAUCAGAACAAGCAC